rnacentral:pre_miRNA from 1 species
AGCUUUUUGAACCCGUGUAGAGAUUUCGUCAGACACCAAUUCAUUAAAACUGAUAAGACUUCCAAGGUAAAUGAAGUU